rnacentral:lncRNA from 1 species
UCUUAUUUUUUCUCUUAUUAUUUUCUAAUAUGAUGUAAAAAUUAUUGAAAAGAAGAGAUGGCACCUGUCCAUGGAUAGGGCAUGAGAUAGAGAGAGAGGCCCACUUCCUCUCUUGCUUAGGUGUGGAAGGAGAGAGAGACAGGGGCCAUGUCCCCCUCUCUUAUGUGUGAAACCCUGGAAGGGGUGCCAAGAGUUGGUGCCCCAACUACUUGCAUCUUUAGUUGAGGGCUGCCCACUCAGUCUGCCUUAUUUGUUGAGAGGCGCCUCAUCUACUUGUCAAAGGAGGUGAAGCCCAUACCAAUUAAGUCUGAUUUUUUUUGAAAAAUAAUCAGAUUAAAAAGAUAAAAACUCUUAUGAGAUAAGGACUAGCCUUUUUAGAUUGAUUGAUUCUUGAUUUGGAAUCAAGAAAGGAUUUAUAUAAAGAG